GUCCACUGACGGCACUAUCGCCCUACAGGUUACCUGACCAUAUAGCUAGAUCUGGGCAAAAGUAGGCCUAUGGUUUCAUACCUGUCACUGAAACGGAUGUCGGCUUUGUAUACAAUGAUGAACGGGUUACUCAUCAAACACUUUGCGCUCCAGUUACAUUUCAAAGUGACGGAAAUUACAAAAUGUUACAGAUCGCUGCAAUCGUUGUCAACAGGGACAAUAUUCUAACAGUCUCAAGUUCUCAACCAUAGGUUGGAAACCGGAUCUGUCAGUGUCACUUCAUGUGUGUCACGGUACUCACUAAAGGUAGCCAAAGGUGUUCGAACACGAUGGCCAGAGUGAAAUGUGAAUAUUUUGUUUCUCUCUUGUUUUUUUCAGUUGAUAUAUGAUGCUUAGAUCAUGUUUCAACCUUCUGAUAUGAAUGACUAUUUAGCGGAAGUAAAUAAAGAUUCAAGAUCAUCCAUCUAUCUUAUUAAAGUAGUGGUUCACGAAAUCGAACAAUUACCUAGACACCACACUUUUGUGGGCUGAAACCGAAUCCAGGUAUAAUUGAUGACUGCCGAGUGAAAAAAGUUUCUAUAAGGCUCGUGUUGUCAGUGCUAACUAAUCAUAUCUAUAUAUUCAAAAUUCCCUUGGAUUGACUGUAGUAGAUUGCAGAGCUGGACUACAUUAACAAGAACUGUCUACUGAAAGGAGAACUAAGGUUGCGGAGGAUGGAGGACAAAGGUUCAAAACCAGAAGGAGGACUACCUUUCCGUAAAGGAGGAUGUCUGGCCACCCUAUGCCAUUGGAACUGCAGAACCAGUCCUUACAUACUUUACAAAGUACAUCUUGGCUACAAACGUGACCCAUAGAGGCAGUAGGUAAUGAUAAAUUAAGAAAGUUAGUUAUGAAAGAACUAGAUACUAUUUAAUUAAUGUAUGACUGAUCAGUUUAUGAUCACUAACUAGACCUCAAGUCACAAAAUAACUUGAACUAAAGUAGUUAAAAAAACAUAUGCUUAUAACCAUAAGUUUGAUAUGUAAUAACAGUACAAGCCAAGAACAUGGGCUGUACAUAAUUUGUAGUGAUUUACUCCAAAUAAUCAGAAUCAUCAACACUGUAUAAUUAUGCAAGAAAAUCACUUAA